rnacentral:rRNA from 1 species
UACGAAGGGGGCUAGCGUUGUUCGGAAUCACUGGGCGUAAAGCGCACGCAGGCGGAUCGCUAAGUCGGGGGUGAAAGCCCGGGGCUCAACCUCCGAAUUGCCUUCGAUACUGUCGGUCUCGAGUCCGGGAGAGGUGAGUGGAAUUCCUAGUGUAGAGGUGAAAUUCGUAGAUAUUAGGAAGAACACCAGUGGCGAAGGCGGCUCACUUGCCCGGCACUGACGCUCAGGUGCGAAAGCGUGGGGAGCAAACAGG